GUAAUAUAUAGUUAACGUGCCUCUUAGCCUGGGAUAGCCACUGGAAACGGUGAUUAAUACUGGAUACUCCUUCUAACUUAAUGUUAGUCGGGAAAGGUUUUUCGCUAAGAGAUCGGACUAUAUUGUAUCAGCUAGUUGGGGAGGUAAUGGCUCACCAAGGCAAUGACACAUAGCGGGUUUGAGAGGAUGAUCCGCCACACUGGUACUGAGACACGGACCAGACUCCUACGGGAGGCAGCAGUGAGGAAUAUUGCACAAUGGGGGAAACCCUGAUGCAGCAACGCCGCGUGGAGGAUGACGCACUUCGGUGUGUAAACUCCUUUUAUAAGAGAAGAAAAUGACGGUAUCUUAUGAAUAAGUCCCGGCUAACUCCGUGCCAGCAGCCGCGGUAAUACGGAGGGGACAAGCGUUAUUCGGAAUCACUGGGCGUAAAGGACGCGUAGGCGGGUUAUUAAGUCGGGUGUGAAAUCCAAUGGCUCAACCAUUGAACUGCAUUCGAAACUGGUGACCUAGAGUAUGGAAGGGGCAGGUGGAAUUAGUGGUGUAGGGGUAAAAUCCGUAGAUAUCACUAGGAAUACCGAAAGCGAAGGCGACCUGCUGGGACAUUACUGACGCUGAGGCGUGAAAGCGUGGGGAGCAAACAGGAUUAGAUACCCUGGUAGUCCACGCCCUAAACGAUGAAUGCUAGUCGUCGGGGAGCUUGUCUCUUCGGUGAUGCACUUAACAGAUUAAGCAUUCCGCCUGGGGAGUACGGUCGCAAGAUUAAAACUCAAAGGAAUAGACGGGGACCCGCACAAGUGGUGGAGCAUGUGGUUUAAUUCGAAGAUACGCGAAGAACCUUACCUAGCCUUGACAUUGAUUGAAUCUUUCAGAGAUGAGAGAGUGCCUUUCGGGGAACAUGAAAACAGGUGCUGCACGGCUGUCGUCAGCUCGUGUCGUGAGAUGUUGGGUUAAGUCCCGCAACGAGC
rnacentral:rRNA from 1 species